rnacentral:rRNA from 1 species
CCUACGGGUGGCAGCAGUGAGGAAUAUUGGUCAAUGGACGAGAGUCUGAACCAGCCAAGUAGCGUGAAGGAUGACUGCCCUAUGGGUUGUAAACUUCUUUUAUAUGGGAAUAAAAUGUUCCACGUGUGGGCUUUUGUAUGUAACAUAUGAAUAAGGAUCGGCUUACUCCGUGCCAGCAGCCGCGGUAAUACGGAGGAUCCGAGCGUUAUCCGGAUUUAUUGGGUUUAAAGGGAGCGUAGGUGGGUUGUUAAGUCAGUUGUGAAAGUUUGGGGGUCAAACGUAAAAUUGCAGUUGAAACUGGCAGUCUUGAGUACAGUAGAGGUGGGCGGAAUGCGUGGUGUAGCGGUGAAAUGCUUAGAUAUCACGAAGAACUCCGAUUGCGAAGGCAGCUCACUGGACUGCAACUGACACUGAGGCUCGAAAGUGUGGGUAUCAAACAGGAUUAGAUACCCUUGUAGUC